rnacentral:rRNA from 1 species
GACAGAGGUGCCGAGCGUUAGGCGGAAUCACUGGGCUUAAAGCGUGUGUAGGCGGGCCGUUAAGUGUCUUGUGAAAUCCCCCGGCUCAACCGGGGAAUUGCUGGGCAUACUGGCGGUCUUGAGCGAUCUAGGGGCAGAUGGAACAAGUGGUGGAGCGGUGAAAUGCGUAGAUAUCGGGAGGAACACCUGUGGCGAAAGCGGCUCACUGGACCAUAACUGACGCUGAUGCACGAAAGCUGGGGGAGCAAACAGG